GGGCUCACUUCAACAACACAUAGACUGAAAUUGGAACAAUACAGAGAAGAUUAGCAUGACCCCUGUGCAAAAAUGACACAUAAAUGUGUGAAGUAUUUCAUGUGUUA